CUCACUUCAGGGGUAAUAAUUAUUAAAAUAAAAACAAUACAAAGAAGAUUAGCCUGUCUCCUCUUCAUGGAUGUCAUGCAAAUUUGUAAAUAUUUCUGUAUAAUU